GCGUGUGCAUGUACAGGUGUGUAUGUAUAUAUAUACCACGCACAAACCGGGCCGCGGCACUGUCAUACAUGUCUACUAGAUCCUUUCACUUUCAAGUAUUGCAGACUCCAGUGUGAAUACGUCAAGACACUACUGAAUGGUGAACAUUCUAAGUGGUGAGCGACGAUGCCUAUAUCCAGCGGUGCGCUUGACUGGCCGGUAAGUUACUAUACCAAACCGACAGCUGUCGAAGACGUCGCCAACGGAUACGACAACCUUGACCCCUGGUCACGUCGUUAUGCCUACCGUAACUGGACAUGGAAAAGGAAGCGAAACACAAGAAAGAAGAAAAAGGAAAAAGAUUCCCCUGAAGAUAGACGGCGUCAUCGUAGGCGAUGUUGCUGUUGUGUGUUGUGGUGGUUGACUGCGCUGCUUCUGAUCAUCCUGACUCUCGUUCUGUUCUUGGUGUUCUGGAUCCGAGACAGGCAACAACAUUCCUGAUUUGAACCGAGAUGUGUAUGACAUCAUUCCCCACUGCAAAGGCACUUGGAGAAAGACGUUCAUUUUUCGCCAACAUCAACAAUCCCCAAAAUAUCACUUACGUAUGUUGCUACGGAGUGGACAAGAACAUCCUGGCGGGUUUAUUACUUCACGGUGACACAUGGCCUGAUGCUUGGGUACUUAACAAGUCACCGUACAAGUGUCCUGCAUCCACGAUGUGGGGAGGUGCUUUCCCAAACGACCCCGUAUGCUCUGCAUCAGAUCUCCAACUGUCGUCCUGUGUGUUGUUUGGGCUUGCGUUGGUCGUGUAUAAUUACAUGACGGAUUAUCAUUUUCAUGGAUAAAUCAAACACGGUGUGCACAUUACCAGGCUUAUAUCUUAUUCGUGUGUAGUGAUGUUACUCGCGGUAAUCGUAAUAUUUAUCCAAAUAAAAGAGACAAAACUAUUUCCAUAUUCAUAAGAAUAAGAACUACGGCCUGUUCACUACGCUUCAUGGAGACACUUUGAUCACGAUAUACAAACCAACAUAUUAGUCCAGCAAUCUAGGCUAUUUUUGCACUCAACAUGGAACAAAUUGUGACAAAAUAUAUUUCACCACAAUGCAUUUCUACAAGGUCCCGAAAACAACAUACUAAAAGUCCCAAGCAAUCCCAGUUUGGGAAAUAUGUCUAAUUUGCAUAAUCCAAUAUGGCCACCAAUUAUCAAUAUAUCUUCCAUAUUUCAUAUGAGGUUCAAUGUUUUGAUGAAAAAUGCAUGUGUUGUAUUGCGAAAUAGCCGUAUUAUAUUUCUACAAAAAAUAAUGAACGUUUUCGACUAUUGACAAAUUUACAAAAAGUCAAGAUAGCCGCCAAUUUCAAGUUGGCCAACAAGUUUCCUAAAUGUGUGUUUACACUGUUGAAAGUCUUAACUCUAAACCAGUGUGCUGGGACUCAUAUGCAUAUAACUUGGCACACUAACUCACUGAAGUAAAGUUAACACUUUUAGAUAGAAACUCCGUCACCUGAGUUCCCUGGUGGCUCAAAAUUCCAAGAUGGCCGCCAAGAGGUUGAUGGCUUGACAUAGAAUAUCAAUACACUGUUGGUCUCUGAUGACAUAUUUGAGUGUUUUGGAUUUCUACAUCUGGGUAAACAGACAAACAGUGAAGGGAGGGAUGGAGUGAGG